rnacentral:rRNA from 1 species
GGCUAACGCUGGCGGCGUGUCUUAGCCAUGCAAGUCGAGCGGACUUAUGGGGUAACUUAUAAGUCAGCGGCGGACGGCGGAGUAACACGUAGCUAACCUACCCUCUGGACGGGGAUAACCUACCGAAAGGUGGGCUAAUACCCGAUGUAGUCAUCCUGUAUAGGGGUGAUGAAAGGUGGGCUUCUGUUUACAAGCUCAUGCUGGAGGAGGGGGCUGCGGCCUAUCAGGUAGUUGGUAGGGUAAUAGCCUACCAAGCCGAUGACGGGUAGCCGGCCUGAGAGGGUGACCGGCCCGAGGGGCACUGAGAUACGGGUCCCACUCCUACGGGAGGCAGCAGGCUAGAAAUUUGGGCAAUGGGGGAAACCCUGACCCAGUGACGCCGCGUGCAGGAAGGAGCCCUUCGGGGUGUAAACUGCUGUCGUGUAGGGAGAAGGGUACUAAGGUGAACAAUCUUAGUACUUGACGGUACUACAGGAGGAAGCCCAGGCUAACCUCGUGCCAGCAGCCGCGGUAAGGCUACGGUAA